AUAUUAAAGAAAUUCGGUAUGAGAUGGGGAUGCGUUCCAUUAGUUUGUUGGGGGGGUAACGGCCCACCAAGACUACGAUGGAUAGGGGUUCUGAGAGGAAGGUCCCCCACAUUGGAACUGAGACACGGUCCAAACUCCUACGGGAGGCAGCAGUGAGGAAUAUUGGUCAAUGGACGCGAGUCUGAACCAGCCAAGUAGCGUGAAGGAUGACUGCCCUAUGGGUUGUAAACUUCUUUUAUAUGGGAAUAAAGUUGUCCACGUGUGGAUUUUUGUAUGUACCAUAUGAAUAAGGAUCGGCUAACUCCGUGCCAGCAGCCGCGGUAAUACGGAGGAUCCGAGCGUUAUCCGGAUUUAUUGGGUUUAAAGGGAGCGUAGGCGGAUUGUUAAGUCAGUUGUGAAAGUUUGCGGCUCAACCGUAAAAUUGCAGUUGAUACUGGCAGUCUUGAGUGCAGUAGAGGUGGGCGGAAUUCGUGGUGUAGCGGUGAAAUGCUUAGAUAUCACGAAGAACUCCGAUUGCGAAGGCAGUUCACUGGAGUGUAACUGACGCUGAUGCUCGA
rnacentral:rRNA from 1 species